CAGUAGCCGCGGUAAUACGAAGGGUGCAAGCGUUAAUCGGAAUUACUGGGCGUAAAGCGUGCGUAGGCGGUUUGUUAAGUCUGCUGUGAAAUCCCCGGGCUCAACCUGGGAAUGGCAGUGGAUACUGGCAAGCUAGAGUGUGUCAGAGGAUGGUGGAAUUCCCGGUGUAGCGGUGAAAUGCGUAGAGAUCGGGAGGAACAUCAGUGGCGAAGGCGGCCAUCUGGGACAACACUGACGCUGAGGCACGAAAGCGUGGGGAGCAAACAGGAUUAGAGACCCCCGUAGUCCCUGUCUCUUAUAC
rnacentral:rRNA from 1 species